rnacentral:rRNA from 1 species
UGCCUAACACAUGCAAGUCGAACGGUAACAGCACUUCGGUGGCUGACGAGUGGCGAACGGGUGAGUAAUACAUCGGAACGUGCCCGAGAGUGGGGGAUAACGCAGCGAAAGCUGUGCUAAUACCGCAUACGAUCUACGGAUGAAAGCAGGGGACCGCAAGGCCUUGCGCUCAUGGAGCGGCCGAUGGCAGAUUAGGUAGUUGGUGGGAUAAAAGCUUACCAAGCCGACGAUCUGUAGCUGGUCUGAGAGGACGACCAGCCACACUGGGACUGAGACACGGCCCAGACUCCUACGGGAGGCAGCAGUGGGGAAUAUUGCACAAUGGGCGCAAGCCUGAUGCAGCCAUGCCGCGUGUGUGAAGAAGGCCUUCGGGUUGUAAAGCUC